rnacentral:lncRNA from 1 species
CAGUGAAAAACAACGUUUCGACCAGAAUUUCUGGCCCUCUUCAGGUUUCAAGUUAGUAUACUCUCAGCGUGAAACACCAUCCUUCAGUCCUUGGUGUGAGCAAUAAUUAUAGUGCAGUUUGUUCCGCCAGGUAAUAAUCAAUAGUAACAGAAUUAUGAUAUGUCGACACCACUGGCAACUUUAUUGUUCAGUGAAAAACAACGUUUCGACCAGAAUUUCUGGCCCUCUUCAGGUUUCAAGUUAGUAUACUCUCAACGUGAAACACCAUCCUUCAGUCCUUGGUGUGAGCAAUAAUUAUGGUGCAGUUUGUUCCGCCAGGUAAUAAUCAAUAGUAACAGAAUUAUGAUAUGUCGACACCACUGGCAACUUUAUUGUUCAGUGAAAAACAACGUUUCGACCAGAAUUUCUGGCCCUCUUCAGGUUUCAAGUUAGUAUACUCUCAACGUGAAACACCAUCCUUCAGUCCUUGGUGUGAGCAAUAAUUAUGGUGCAGUUUGUUCCGCCAGAUAAUAAUCAAUAGUAACAGAAUUAUGAUAUGUCGACACCACUGGCAACUUUAUUGUUCAGUGAAAAACAACGUUUUGACCAGAAUUUCUGGCCCUCUUCAGGUUUCAAGUUAGUAUACUCUCAACGUGAAACACCAUCCUUCAGUCCUUGGUGUGAGCAAUAAUUAUGGUGCAGUUUGUUCCGCCAGGUAAUAAUCAAUAGUAACAGAAUUAUGAUAUGUCGACACCACUGGCAACUUUAUUGUUCAGUGAAAAACAACGUUUUGACCAGAAUUUCUGGCCCUCUUCAGGUUUCAAGUUAGUAUACUCUCAACGUGAAACACCAUCCUUCAGUCCUUGGUGUGAGCAAUAAUUAUAGUGCAGUUUGUUCCGCCAGGUAAUAAUCAAUAGUAACAGAAUUAUGAUAUGUCGACACCACUGGCAACUUUAUUGUUCAGUGAAAAACAACGUUUUGACCAGAAUUUCUGGCCCUCUUCAGGUUUCAAGUUAGUAUACUCUCAACGUGAAACACCAUCCUUCAGUCCUUGGUGUGAGCAAUAAUUAUAGUGCAGUUUGUUCCGCCAGGUAAUAAUCAAUAGUAACAGAAUUAUGAUAUGUCGACACCACUGGCAACUUUAUUGUUCAGUGAAAAACAACGUUUUGACCAGAAUUUCUGGCCCUCUUCAGGUUUCAAGUUAGUAUACUCUCAACGUGAAACACCAUCCUUCAGUCCUUGGUGUGAGCAAUAAUUAUAGUGCAGUUUGUUCCGCCAGGUAAUAAUCAAUAGUAACAGAAUUAUGAUAUGUCGACACCACUGGCAACUUUAUUGUUCAGUGAAAAACAACGUUUUGACCAGAAUUUCUGGCCCUCUUCAGGUUUCAAGUUAGUAUACUCUCAACGUGAAACACCAUCCUUCAGUCCUUGGUGUGAGCAAUAAUUAUAGUGCAGUUUGUUCCGCCAGGUAAUAAUCAAUAGUAACAGAAUUAUGAUAUGUCGACACCACUGGCAACUUUAUUGUUCAGUGAAAAACAACGUUUUGACCAGAAUUUCUGGCCCUCUUCAGGUUUCAAGUUAAUAUACUCUCAGCGUGAAACACCAUCCUUCAGUCCUUGGUGUGAGCAAUAAUUAUGGUGCAGUUUGUUCCGCCAGAUAAUAAUCAAUAGUAACAGAAUUAUGAUAUGUCGACACCACUGGCAACUUUAUUGUUCAGUGAAAAACAACGUUUUGACCAGAAUUUCUGGCCCUCUUCAGGUUUCAAGUUAGUAUACUCUCAACGUGAAACACCAUCCUUCAGUCCUUGGUGUGAGCAAUAAUUAUAGUGCAGUUUGUUCCGCCAGGUAAUAAUCAAUAGUAACAGAAUUAUGAUAUGUCGACACCACUGGCAACUUUAUUGUUCAGUGAAAAACAACGUUUUGACCAGAAUUUCUGGCCCUCUUCAGGUUUCAAGUUAAUAUACUCUCAGCGUGAAACACCAUCCUUCAGUCCUUGGUGUGAGCAAUAAUUAUAGUGCAGUUUGUUCCGCCAGGUAAUAAUCAAUAGUAACAGAAUUAUGAUAUGUCGACACCACUGGCAACUUUAUUGUUCAGUGAAAAACAACGUUUUGACCAGAAUUUCUGGCCCUCUUCAGGUUUCAAGUAAUAAUCAAUAGUAACAGAAUUAUGAUAUGUCGACACCACUGGCAACUUUAUUGUUCAGUGAAAAACAACGUUUUGACCAGAAUUUCUGGCCCUCUUCAGGUUUCAAGUUAGUAUACUCUCAACGUGAAACACCAUCCUUCAGUCCUUGGUGUGAGCAAUAAUUAUGGUGAAAAACAACGUUUUGACCAGAAUUUCAGAAAUGUUGUUUUUCACUGAACAAUAAAGUUGCCAGUGGUAUCGACGUAUCAUAAUUCUGUUACUAUUGAUUAUUACCUGGCGGAACAAACUGCACUAUAAUUAUUUUGAUAAUCGUAUUAUGUUUUAUUAUUUAACGCAUUAAAAUGCGCAAAUCGAGUUAACGUCGUCUAGCAAGCAUCUCUCUUUUUAUAUGAUCCAAACGCUUCCACUUUAGCGAUCCGAGUCAACAAGCAUCGCGUUUAUGAGAUCGGAGUGAGAUGCGCGCAAGUGUUUUCGAGUGAUGUCAGGCGGACGUCUCUCGCGAUGGCAAACUCGCUCACGGUCCCUGUGUCGAGACAAUAAAGGACGAUUGCCGCGAAGGAGCGGGCAUUAUAUCGGACGAUUACGGCAAGCCGCCGGCGAGCUGCGUGGGGCCGCGUAAAUACGAGAUAACAUCCGAUGUUGACGUUGAAAAACAUCUCGCAACACGGCAAUGAGACCGUCGGUCAAAUGUCACGCUGUUGAAUUUAGAUAACAAGCGUUAUGUAUCGCAGCGAUCGCUACAAUCAUUUUAAUAACUGCUCUUACAAUAUCUUUUUUUAAACAAAACCGUUAAAACUUCUCACAUCGAAGCAAGAUGGGCGAUGAAACUUCUUUAUUAUUUCCAGACAUGACAACAGCCUUAUUAUAUUGAAAUACAAGAUAACUAAUGCAACAAUUUAGUUUUUUCAUGAAUGAAGUGAUUACAUGGUGUUUACUUGAACAUACAUCUUGCUACAUUUUCCUCUAUAACGUUUGAUAAAUAGUUAAUAUUUGAUAGAGAUAAUUAGGAUUAUGCAUAAGCAAAAUGUACUCUGUAAAACUUUGAAAAUUUGUUACAUUAAAUUUCUGUUUUUUUUACAGC